GGAGGGAUGCGAGAGCGGACGAAUCGGCACGCCUGGAGAGCGUGUGUGGGGCAACCCACCGUGGGUUCGAAUCCCACUCCCUCCG
rnacentral:tRNA from 1 species